CGUUGUUGGGUAGGGGAGCGUUCUGUAAGCCGUUGAAGGUGGCCUGUGAGGGUUGCUGGAGGUAUCAGAAGUGCGAAUGCUGACAUAAGUAACGAUAAAGCGGGUGAAAAGCCCGCUCGCCGGAAGACCAAGGGUUCCUGUCCAACGUUAAUCGGGGCAGGGUGAGUCGACCCCUAAGGCGAGGCUGAAAAGCGUAGUCGAUGGGAAACAGGUUAAUAUUCCUGUACUUGGUGUUACUGCGAAGGGGGGACGGAGAAGGCUAGGCUAGCCGGGCGACGGUUGUCCCGGUUUAAGCGUGUAGGGGGUGUGACCUGGUAAAUCCGGUUGCAUAUCAACCCUGAGGCGUGAUGACGAUGCACUACGGUGCAGAAGUAGUUGAUGCCCUGCUUCCAGGAAAAGCCUCUAAGCUCCAGGUAACAUUGAAUCGUACCCCAAACCGACACAGGUGGUCAGGUAGAGAAUACCAAGGCGCUUGAGAGAACUCGGGUGAAGGAACUAGGCAAAAUGGUGCCGUAACUUCGGGAGAAGGCACGCUGGCAUGUAGGUGAAGUCCCUUGCGGAUGGAGCUGAAGCCAGUCGAAGAUACCAGCUGGCUGCAACUGUUUAAUAAAAACACAGCACUGUGCAAACACGAAAGUGGACGUAUACGGUGUGACGCCUGCCCGGUGCUGGAAGGUUAAUUGAUGGGGUCAGCCGCAAGGCGAAGCUCUUGAUCGAAGCCCCAGUAAACGGCGGCCGUAACUAUAACGGUCCUAAGGUAGCGAAAUUCCUUGUCGGGUAAGUUCCGACCUGCACGAAUGGCGUAAUGAUGGCCAGGCUGUCUCCACCCGAGACUCAGUGAAAUUGAACUCGCUGUGAAGAUGCAGUGUACCCGCGGCAAGACGGAAAGACCCCGUGAACCUUUACUAUAGCUUGACACUGAACAUUGAGCCUUGAUGUGUAGGAUAGGUGGGAGGCUUUGAAGCGUGGACGCCAGUCUGCGUGGAGCCAUCCUUGAAAUACCACCCUUUAAUGUUUGAUGUUCUAACUCGGCCCCAUAAUCUGGGGUGAGGACAGUGUCUGGUGGGUAGUUUGACUGGGGCGGUCUCCUCCCAAAGAGUAACGGAGGAGCACGAAGGUUAGCUAAUCACGGUCGGACAUCGUGAGGUUAGUGCAAAGGCAUAAGCUAGCUUGACUGCGAGAGUGACGGCUCGAGCAGGUACGAAAGUAGGUCUUAGUGAUCCGGUGGUUCUGAAUGGAAGGGCCAUCGCUCAACGGAUAAAAGGUACUCCGGGGAUAACAGGCUGAUACCGCCCAAGAGUUCAUAUCGACGGCGGUGUUUGGCACCUCGAUGUCGGCUCAUCACAUCCUGGGGCUGAAGUAGGUCCCAAGGGUAUGGCUGUUCGCCAUUUAAAGUGGUACGCGAGCUGGGUUUAGAACGUCGUGAGACAGUUCGGUCCCUAUCUGCCGUGGGCGUUGGAAGAUUGAGAGGGGUUGCUCCUAGUACGAGAGGACCGGAGUGAACGCACCACUGGUGUUCGGGUUGUCAUGCCAAUGGCAUUGCCCGGUAGCUAAGUGCGGAAAAGAUAAGCGCUGAAAGCAUCUAAGCGCGAAACUUGCCUCAAGAUGAGUCUUCCCUGGGCCUU
rnacentral:rRNA from 1 species